rnacentral:rRNA from 1 species
UACGGAGGGUGCAAGCGUUAUCCGGAUUCACUGGGUUUAAAGGGUGCGUAGGUGGGUUGGUAAGUCAGUGGUGAAAUCCCCGAGCUUAACUUGGGAACUGCCAUUGAUACUAUUAAUCUUGAAUACCGUGGAGGUUAGCGGAAUAUGUCAUGUAGCGGUGAAAUGCUUAGAUAUGACAUAGAACACCAAUUGCGAAGGCAGCUGGCUACACGAAUAUUGACACUGAUGCACGAAAGCGUGGGGAUCAAACAGGGA